rnacentral:lncRNA from 1 species
CAGAAAUCAAACAAAUCACCAAAUAAGUGACCGCAGUGGAUUACAAAAAAAAAAUAGAACAAGGAACCUGACCCUAAAUCAUAAUAGAGAAAAUUGAAUAACUAUAACCAAAUCGUUAUAUGGUAUUAAUAUAUAAUAAAGAUACAAAUUACCCAUGGUUAUUCCAUGGUUGUGAUUAUACCUUACAUGGGAAAACUCGGUAGUGAUGCUACAAAUUACCCAUGGUUAUCAUUAUACCUUAUAUGGGAGUAUUCGGCAGUGAUGCUAGAUAUUACCCAUGGUUAUUCCAUGGUUAUGAUUUUACCUUAAAUGAGACUACUCGGCAGCAAAGCUAGAAAUUACACAUGGUUAUCCCGAACUAGACAACAAAACCUAUCUCGAUUGGUUUUUCCAUGG